CGGGUGAGUAACACGUGGAUAACCUACCUAUAAGACUGGGAUAACUUCGGGAAACCGGAGCUAAUACCGGAUAAUAUAUUGAACCGCAUGGUUCAAUAGUGAAAGACGGCUUUGCUGUCACUUAUAGAUGGAUCCGCGCCGCAUUAGCUAGUUGGUAAGGUAACGGCUUACCAAGGCGACGAUGCGUAGCCGACCUGAGAGGGUGAUCGGCCACACUGGAACUGAGACACGGUCCAG
rnacentral:rRNA from 1 species